rnacentral:rRNA from 1 species
GACGAACCGUGCGAACGUUGUUCGGAAUCACUGGGCUUAAAGGGCGCGUAGGCGGGUUUUCAAGUCUGUGGUGAAAGCCUCCAGCUUAACUGGAGAAGUGCCGUGGAUACUGGAGACCUCGAGGAGGGUAGGGGCAUCUGGAACAGCCGGUGGAGCGGUGAAAUGCGUAGAUAUCGAGAGGAACACCUGCGGCGAAGGCGGGUUGCUGGGCUGACACUGACGCUGAAGCGCGAAAGCUAGGGGAGCGAACAGG